GGAAGUGAUGGCGUCAUUUUGAAAUCCAAUGGCCAAGUUGAUGACAACACAUCACCCUCCCAAACCCCCACGAUGAAAUGGCUUAUAUAGACAGACCAACAAGCCAACUCUUCACUUCACUGAGCAAGUGUGUCUUGCAGUUGUCUUUGGAGGUGAGUAUUUUCAGCUGUAGAAGCCAUGUGUCUGUUGCAGAUAUAUUCAUCUGAUUGGUCUUGUAACCAUGUUUUUGCUCACUGAAGAUGGUGAUUGUUGGGAAAUAACACCUUGAACCAGAUUUUAAAUUUGAGUUUAAAUUUGUAGUUAAAUUUAAGAAUUGUAAGUUUUGGAGUCAAGUUGAGAUUUAAAUGAAGUUCAGUGUUUAACAACUUCUCUUCAAACCCUCUGUGUUUUAAAGGGAGUAAGUAGAAAUGUCUCUCUCUUAAUUAGGGCUGUACUUUUAAAGUCUUUCUUCCUUUCUAGAGAUAUAACAGAGAACAUGGCACGCAAACUCUUUCUAAUCCUCGCGCUCUUUCUCCUGGUGGGGAGUCUGACUGCGCAGUUGUCAGAUGAAGAUGGCAUCAUCCUGUCUGAACUGUACAACAAGGCAUCGAGGCAGCUCCACUCUUUCAGAGAGAGAAUCUGAAUGCCACGAAGCUCUCCUGUUUGUAAACAAAUAAAGAUGUUCUGCAGCAUUUACCUCUCUGUGCU
rnacentral:lncRNA from 1 species